UGAAGUUGGUGCGAGUGGGCGAA
rnacentral:siRNA from 1 species